GCAACAUGCGGGGCAGGAGGGGCUGUAAGACGGAGGGCGCAAGCGUGGUGCUGAAUUGUUGGGCGUAAAGAGCGCGUAGGUGGGUUGUCGCGUCUGCUGUGAAAACCUAGGGCUUAACCCUGGGCCUGCAGUGGAUACGGGCAGACUAGAGGUAGGUAGGGGAGAAGGGAAUUCCCGGUGUAGCGGUGAAAUGCGCAGAUAUCGGGAGGAACACCGGUGGCGAAGGCGGUUCUCUGGGCCUUACCUGACACUGAGGAGCGAAAGCGUGGGGAGCGAACAGGAUUAGAUACCCGGGUAGUC
rnacentral:rRNA from 1 species